rnacentral:rRNA from 1 species
GUAGGGUGCGAGCGUUAAUCGGAAUUACUGGGCGUAAAGCGUGCGCAGGCGGUUGGAUAAGUCAGAUGUGAAAUCCCCGGGCUCAACCUGGGAACUGCAUUUGAGACUGCCCAGCUGGAGUUUGGCAGAGGGGGGUGGAAUUCCACGUGUAGCAGUGAAAUGCGUAGAGAUGUGGAGGAACACCGAUGGCGAAGGCAGCCCCCUGGGCCAAUACUGACGCUCAUGCACGAAAGCGUGGGGAGCAAAC